rnacentral:rRNA from 1 species
AGGUAAGUGUAUGGGAUCUGGACCUGACUGGCGGGGGAGGUAACUAACUGGAAACGGGGGCUAAUACCGCAUAAUGUCUGCGGACCAAAGAGGGGGACCUUCGGGCCUCUUGCCAUCGGAUGUGCCCAGAUGGGAUUAGCUAGUAGGUGGGGUAACGGCUCACCUAGGCGACGAUCCCUAGCUGGUCUGAGAGGAUGACCAGCCACACUGGAACUGAGACACGGUCCAG